GAAAUGCGAGAAGUAAUGUGAAUUGCAGAAUUCAGUGAAUCAUCGAAUCUUUGAACGCACCUUGCGCGCCUUGGUAUUCCUUGGAGCAUGCCUGUUUGAGUAUCAUGAAAUCUUCAAAGUAAAUCUUUUGUUAACUCAAUUGGUUUCUACUUUGGUAUUGGAGGUCUUUGCAGCUUCACACCUGCUCCUCUUUGUUCAUUAGCUGGAUCUCAGUGUUAUGCUUGGUUCCACUCGGCGUGAUAAGUUAUCUAUCGCUGAGGACACUGUAAAAGGUGGCCAAGGUAAAUGCAGAUGAACCGCUUCUAAUAGUCCAUUGACUUGGACAAUACUUUUAUGAUCUGAUCUCAAAUCAGGUAGGACUACCCGCUGAACUUAAGC
rnacentral:misc_RNA from 1 species